rnacentral:lncRNA from 1 species
GUAGAGACAAGUUCUCACUAUUUUGCCCAGGCUGGUCUUCAACUUCCAGGCUCAAGUGAUCUUCCUGCCUUGGCCUCCCAAAAUGCUGGGAUUACAGGAACAGUUGGCCUUUUUGGAUGAAGGUGUGAUUACUGGAAAGGAGUACUGCCAGGUGAUAAAGUAAGAAGACAAAGAUGCAGACAAUCAAAAGCAGCCACAUCAGUCUGGUGAUGGGCAAGGGAACACGUGUCAAAGCCAGCUGACCUUUACAUACAUCACGGCUAACUAGAAAACCAUUUGGUGACUUGCUAGUUCCUCGAACUUCUGGGAAAGAGAAUGGUGUUAUAGAUGGAGUCUCACUGUCGUCCAGGCUGGAGUACAGUGGCAGGAUCUUGGCUCAUGCAACCUGUGCCUCCUUGAUUCAAGCGAUUCUCCUGCCUCAG